UAAAGCAUACUUUGAUAACACUAAAAUAAAGAAACGUAUUAUUUUCACCAAUUAGUUUUACAAAAAAGAACUAAAGUGUCAAGCUUAAAACAAACAAAAACGCAUCGUUUAAUGGUAAAGUAUUAAUUAUAGAACGGCUGGUCAAAAGGCUUUUUAUACAAAAGCAAGGUUAGCAAAAAUACAUUAAUGUAAAAAAAUAAAUAUGUCUAUUCAAACAAAAAAUAAAGUAGCUUCAUUAACGCAGGUGAAAUAGAGUAGCUUCAUUAAAGCAGGUAAACUAUAGUAACCUCGUAUAGGCAGGUGAAAUCAAAGUUUUAUUUAUUGCUAGAAGUUCCAAAAGACCUUUUACAUGUUGUAUUUAUUUAACUAUUAGUAAAAUGCUCAUAUUUUAUUGAUCUAUUUGAUUUGAAAAAGUAUAAAAUCACAACUUACUGCUUAAACUACGUUUGUAUAAAAUAAUACAACUCUAAAAAUAAAAAUGAACUUCAUAUUGCUCGUUCUAUUUGCUUCUAUCCUAAUCUUGGUUCCAACUGCAGAGAGCUUUGCUGGAGGACGAGGUGGUAAAAGGGACGAAGAAACUGAGACAGAUAAACUACUUGAGGCAAUUUCGUAUAUAGACUAUGGCAAUUAUAGAAACCGAGACUCUGGCUACAAAUUUCAAAAUACUAGGCGAAUUUUAGAUCGAUGCUCGGUAUUUUGCGAUUUCGCAAAUGAUUAUUAUGACGCAUGCGUUAAGCAGUGUGAAAAGCAAUAUGGUCUCACAAAAUAAAAUGUAGCAAGGAUGUUGUAAAAUGUUAAAAUAUCAUAUGUAAAACUGACGUUUAUUUUAUAAUGUAUUAAACUUUUUUAAAUUAA